rnacentral:misc_RNA from 1 species
AAAGCACUGCGCUAUAUCGCCUCUGCUUUGCAACGUUUUCACGCAAACUAUGCUGCACUACGUUUUAUCAGCAACAGUCCUCUUAUUCCUUCCAAUAAUAGCCGCGGAUUCAAAAGGCGUUCGUGGAAAGCCGCGCAUUCCCCGCUCUCAGGACAUCAGAAAGUUCCUGAAUGUACCGGAGCCCAUAUGGACCUACAAUUCAACGCUGGAAGAAACGCUGCGCUGUGAGGUGGACGUUAUGUCAAAAUGCAGCCAAAAGUCAAUUCAGUAUAACAGGUCAUACUUUAUUAACAAGCAAGUACGAACAGAGCAGCUAGAGGGAUGGUUCCUAAAGCUUCCUAGAGAUGAAAUGUUUGUUGCGGUACUAGGGAAUGUGCCAGUAAUCGCAGAAAAGCUCGUCUACGCGAGCACGGACGCAAGUUGUGGUGUCUUCAAAGUGAUGCUGCCAUUCCCUGUUUCUGAACACUUCGGAGCCCACAUGGACUUACAAUUCAACGCUGCCUGAAUCUCUCCUGUGCACAGUGGACGUUAAGUUAAAAUUAAACAGGCUGUCAAUUCGGUACAACAGGUCGUACUAUAUGGGCGGUAAAGUACUAUCAGAGGUCCUACAAGGAUGGUUCCGUCACAGAGACAAGAUUUUCGUCGGCAAACUGGGUGAACAACCUUGGUACGACUUGCGAGUUAAGAACUCGUCUAUUCUUGCUGGCCCAUCAGCAGAUUGUGUAGGCAACUUCAGUGAUGCUAUUUCUAAAACGACAAACAAGGCCGUGAGAACCAAAAGCUGGAAUCGCCCGGCUCGAGCUAAACCUCUUUACUAUCCUUGGUGCCAUAGUGUACUUCGUCCACCAUCAGUGAUUCAGCGACCCUUGGCACCUCAGACACCCUCCGGUAAAGAAGAGUAGCAUUUGUGACCACACAAAUAAAAAUGA